rnacentral:rRNA from 1 species
GGGCCCUACGGGGCGCAGCAGUAGGGAAUUUUCGUCAAUGGGCGCAAGCCUGAACGAGCAAUGCCGCGUGAACGAGGAAGGUCUUCGGAUCGUAAAGUUCUGUUGAAGGGGAAAAAGAGCGGAGAGAGGAAAUGGUCUCCGAUUGAUAUUACCCUUCGAGGAAGUCACGGCUAACUAAGUGCCAGCAGCCGCGGUAAUACGUAGGUGGCGAGCGUUAUCCGGAAUGAUUGGGCGUAAAGGGUGCGUAGGGGGCCGGCUAAGUCUGGAGUGAGAG